GACGAACGCUGGCGGCGUGCUUAACACAUGCAAGUCGAACGGUAAGGCCCUUCGGGGUACACGAGUGGCGAACGGGUGAGUAACACGUAGGUGAUCUGCCCUGCACUUCGGGAUAAGCCUGGGAAACUGGGUCUAAUACCGGAUAGGACUCCGGACUGCAUGGUCUGGGGUGGAAAGCUUUUGCGGUGUGGGAUGGGCCCGCGGCCUAUCAGCUUGUUGGUGGGGUGAUGGCCUACCAAGGCGACGACGGGUAGCCGGCCUGAGAGGGUGACCGGCCACACUGGGACUGAGAUACGGCCCAGACUCCUACGGGAGGCAGCAGUGGGGAAUAUUGCACAAUGGGCGCAAGCCUGAUGCAGCGACGCCGCGUGAGGGAUGACGGCCUUCGGGUUGUAAACCUCUUUCAGCAUCGACGAAGCGAAAGUGACGGUAGGUGCAGAAGAAGGACCGGCCGACUACGUGCCAGCAGCCGCCGUAA
rnacentral:rRNA from 1 species